GGCAUGCUCUGCACAGUAAACACACA
rnacentral:piRNA from 1 species